rnacentral:rRNA from 1 species
UAUGUGCAUGCAAUACGGUGGAUAUGAUGAGGUUGGAUGCAUUAUGAGGGACAUUUACAAUUUCUGCCAUGCUAACAAGCAGGAAACAACUUCUUCCGGGGAUGCUCAAAUGGUGAUCAAUCACAUGGAGGCGAGGCAAGAGCAAGAUUCAGAUUUUUUCUUCAGGUACUUGGUUGAUGAAGCUGGCCAUCUGAAGGGACUGUUCUGGUGUGAUAGUCAAUCCCGACUUGACUACGAGGCUUUCAGAGACGUUAUUGUUUUUGAUAGCACAUACAAAACCAAUAAUUACAAUCUGCCAUUUGUGCCGUUUGUCAGGUUGAAUCACCACCGCAGCACCGUUAUUUUUGCAUGUGGUAUCGUUUCACAUGAAACAAGCCAGGCAUACGAGUGGAUGUUACGGACCUUUUCUGAUGCUAUGGGACAGAAGCAUCCUAUAUAUGUGAUCACGGAUGGGGACCCUGCAAUGCAGAGAGCAAUCAGGGUGGUGUGGCCUGACUCAAACCAUAGGCUCUGUAUAUGA